rnacentral:rRNA from 1 species
GGGUUGUGAGGUUAAGCGACUAAGCGUACACGGUGGAUGCCCUGGCAGUCAGAGGCGAUGAAGGGCGUGCUAAUCUGCGAUAAGCGCCGGUAAGGUGAUAUGAACCGUUAUAACCGGCGAUACCCGAAUGGGGAAACCCAGUGUGACUCGUCACACUAUCAUUAACUGAAUCCAUAGGUUAAUGAGGCGAACCGGGGGAACUGAAACAUCUAAGUACCCCGAGGAAAAGAAAUCAACCGAGAUUCCCCCAGUAGCGGCGAGCGAACGGGGAGGAGCCCAGAGCCUGAAUCAGCAUGUGUGUUAGUGGAAGCGUCUGGAAAGGCGCGCGAUACAGGGUGACAGCCCCGUACACAAAAGCGCAUGUGCUGUGAGCUCGAUGAGUAGGGCGGGACACGUGGUAUCCUGUCUGAAUAUGGGGGGACCAUCCUCCAAGGCUAAAUACUCCUGACUGACCGAUAGUGAACCAGUACCGUGAGGGAAAGGCGAAAAGAACCCCGGCGAGGGGAGUGAAAAAGAACCUGAAACCGUGUACGUACAAGCAGUGGGAGCACCCUUUGGGUGUGACUGCGUACCUUUUGUAUAAUGGGUCAGCGACUUAUAUUCUGUAGCAAGGUUAACCGAAUAGGGGAGCCGGAGGGAAACCGAGUCUUAAUUGGGCGUUAAGUUGCAGGGUAUAGACCCGAAACCCGGUGAUCUAGCCAUGGGCAGGUUGAAGGUUGGGUAACACUAACUGGAGGACCGAACCGACUAAUGUUGAAAAAUUAGCGGAUGACCUGUGGCUGGGGGUGAAAGGCCAAUCAAACCGGGAGAUAGCUGGUUCUCCCCGAAAGCUAUUUAGGUAGCGCCUCGUGAAUUCAUCUCCGGGGGUAGAGCACUGUUUCGGCUAGGGGGCCAUCCCGGCUUACCAACCCGAUGCAAACUGCGAAUACCGGAGAAUGUUAUCACGGGAGACACACGGCGGGUGCUAACGUCCGUCGUGAAGAGGGAAACAACCCAGACCGCCAGCUAAGGUCCCAAAGUCAUGGUUAAGUGGGAAACGAUGUGGGAAGGCCCAGACAGCCAGGAUGUUGGCUUAGAAGCAGCCAUCAUUUAAAGAAAGCGUAAUAGCUCACUGGUCGAGUCGGCCUGCGCGGAAGAUGUAACGGGGCUAAACCAUGCACCGAAGCUGCGGCAGCGACACUGUGUGUUGUUGGGUAGGGGAGCGUUCUGUAAGCCNNNNNNNNNNNNNNNUGAGGCAUGCUGGAGGUAUCAGAAGUGCGAAUGCUGACAUAAGUAACGAUAAAGCGGGUGAAAAGCCCGCUCGCCGGAAGACCAAGGGUUCCUGUCCAACGUUAAUCGGGGCAGGGUGAGUCGACCCCUAAGGCGAGGCCGAAAGGCGUAGUCGAUGGGAAACGGGUUAAUAUUCCCGUACUUGGUGUUACUGCGAAGGGGGGACGGAGAAGGCUAUGUUGGCCGGGCGACGGUUGUCCCGGUUUAAGCGUGUAGGUGUGUGUUCCAGGUAAAUCCGGUUCACUUUAACACUGAGGCGUGACGACGAGGCACUACGGUGCUGAAGCAACAAAUGCCCUGCUUCCAGGAAAAGCCUCUAAGCAUCAGGUAACAUCAAAUCGUACCCCAAACCGACACAGGUGGUCAGGUAGAGAAUACCAAGGCGCUUGAGAGAACUCGGGUGAAGGAACUAGGCAAAAUGGUGCCGUAACUUCGGGAGAAGGCACGCUGACACGUAGGUGAAGUGAUUUACUCAUGGAGCUGAAGUCAGUCGAAGAUACCAGCUGGCUGCAACUGUUUAUUAAAAACACAGCACUGUGCAAACACGAAAGUGGACGUAUACGGUGUGACGCCUGCCCGGUGCCGGAAGGUUAAUUGAUGGGGUCAGCGCAAGCGAAGCUCCUGAUCGAAGCCCCGGUAAACGGCGGCCGUAACUAUAACGGUCCUAAGGUAGCGAAAUUCCUUGUCGGGUAAGUUCCGACCUGCACGAAUGGCGUAAUGAUGGCCAGGCUGUCUCCACCCGAGACUCAGUGAAAUUGAACUCGCUGUGAAGAUGCAGUGUACCCGCGGCAAGACGGAAAGACCCCGUGAACCUUUACUAUAGCUUGACACUGAACAUUGAGCCUUGAUGUGUAGGAUAGGUGGGAGGCUUUGAAGUGUGGACGCCAGUCUGCAUGGAGCCGACCUUGAAAUACCACCCUUUAAUGUUUGAUGUUCUAACGUGGACCCGUUACCCGGGUUGCGGACAGUGUCUGGUGGGUAGUUUGACUGGGGCGGUCUCCUCCUAAAGAGUAACGGAGGAGCACGAAGGUUGGCUAAUCCUGGUCGGACAUCAGGAGGUUAGUGCAAUGGCAUAAGCCAGCUUGACUGCGAGCGUGACGGCGCGAGCAGGUGCGAAAGCAGGUCAUAGUGAUCCGGUGGUUCUGAAUGGAAGGGCCAUCGCUCAACGGAUAAAAGGUACUCCGGGGAUAACAGGCUGAUACCGCCCAAGAGUUCAUAUCGACGGCGGUGUUUGGCACCUCGAUGUCGGCUCAUCACAUCCUGGGGCUGAAGUAGGUCCCAAGGGUAUGGCUGUUCGCCAUUUAAAGUGGUACGCGAGCUGGGUUUAGAACGUCGUGAGACAGUUCGGUCCCUAUCUGCCGUGGGCGCUGGAGAACUGAGGGGGGCUGCUCCUAGUACGAGAGGACCGGAGUGGACGCAUCACUGGUGUUCGGGUUGUCAUGCCAAUGGCACUGCCCGGUAGCUAAAUGCGGAAGAGAUAAGUGCUGAAAGCAUCUAAGCACGAAACUUGCCCCGAGAUGAGUUCUCCCUGAGACUUAAAGUCUCCUGAAGGAACGUUGAAGACGACGACGUUGAUAGGCCGGGUGUGUAAGCGCAGCGAUGCGUUGAGCUAACCGGUACUAAUGAACCGUGAGGCUUAACCUUACAACGCCGAAG